GAGUUUGAUCCUGGCUCAGAUUGAACGCUGGCGGCAUGCCUUACACAUGCAAGUCGAACGGGGUAGAGGGGCUUGCUCUUCUACUUAGUGGCGAACGGGUGAGUAAUGCAUCGGAACAUGCCUUGUAGUGGGGGAUAACCGGUCGAAAGGCUGGCUAAUACCGCAUAUACCUGAGGGUGAAAGCGGGGGACCAGAGAUGGCCUCGUGCUAUGAGAGCGGCCGAUGUCGGAUUAGUUAGUUGGUGGGGUAAUGGCUUACCAAGGCGUUGAUCCGUAGCGGGUCUGAGAGGAUGAUCCGCCACACUGGGACUGAGACACGGCCCAGACUCCUACGGGAGGCAGCAGUGGGGAAUUUUGGACAAUGGGGGCAACCCUGAUCCAGCCAUGCCGCGUGAGUGAAGAAGGCCUUCGGGUUGUAAAGCUCUUUCGCCGGGAAAGAAAGCCUCUGGGUUAAUAUCCUGGGGGUAUGACGGUACCCGGAUAAGAAGCACCGGCUAACUACGUGCCAGCAGCCGCGGUAAUACGUAGGGUGCGAGCGUUAAUCGGAAUUACUGGGCGUAAAGGGUGCGCAGGCGGUUCUGUAAGACAGGCGUGAAAUCCCCGGGCUUAACCUGGGCAUUGCGUUUGUGACUGCAGGACUUGAGUACGGCAGAG
rnacentral:rRNA from 1 species